rnacentral:rRNA from 1 species
UACGGAGGGGGCAAGCGUUGUCCGGAAUCAUUGGGCGGAAAGAGCGUGUAGGCGGCUCGGUAAGUCCGCUGUGAAAGUCCAGGGCUCAACCCUGGAAUGCCGGUGGAAACUGUCGAGCUAGAAUCCGGAAGAGGCGAGUGGAAUUCCUGGUGUAGCGGUGAAAUGCGCAGAUAUCAGGAGGAACACCAAUGGCGAAGGCAGCUCGCUGGGACGGUAUUGACGCUGAGACGCGAAAGCGUGGGGAGCAAACAGG